rnacentral:rRNA from 1 species
AACGAACGCUGGCGGCAUGCCUAACACAUGCAAGUCGAACGAAGGCUUCGGCCUUAGUGGCGCACGGGUGCGUAACGCGUGGGAACCAGCCCCUCGGUUCGGAAUAACAGUUAGAAAUGACUGCUAAUACCGGAUGAUGACUUCGGUCCAAAGAUUUAUCGCCGAGGGAUGGGCCCGCGUAGGAUUAGCUAGUUGGUGGGGUAAAGGCCUACCAAGGCGACGAUCCUUAGCUGGUCUGAGAGGAUGAUCAGCCACACUGGGACUGAGACACGGCCCAGACUCCUACGGGAGGCAGCAGUGGGGAAUAUUGGACAAUGGGCGAAAGCCUGAUCCAGCAAUGCCGCGUGAGUGAUGAAGGCCUUAGGGUUGUAAAGCUCUUUUACCAGGGAUGAUAAUGACAGUACCUGGAGAUAAGCUCCGGCUAACUCCGUGCCAGCAGACGCGGUAAAGUAGUCGUG